rnacentral:rRNA from 1 species
UACGGAGGGCGCGAGCGUUACCCGGAUUUACUGGGCGUAAAGGGCGUGUAGGCGGCCUGGGGCGUCCCAUGUGAAAGGCCACGGUUCAACCGUGGAGGAGCGUGGGAUACGCUCAGGCUAGACGGUGGGAGAGGGUGGUGGAAUUCCCGGAGUAGCGGUGAAAUGCGCAGAUACCGGGAGGAACGCCGAUGGCGAAGGCAGCCACCUGGCCCACAUGUGACGCUGAGGUGCGAAAGCGUGGGGAGCAAACCGG